GACGAACCGUACGAACGUUAUUCGGAAUUACUGGGCUUAAAGGGUUUGUAGGCGGCCUUGUAAGUCAGGUGUGAAAUCCCUCGGCUCAACCGAGGAAUGGCGCUUGAUACUGCAAGGCUUGAGGGAGACAGGGGUAAGCGGAACUGAUGGUGGAGCGGUGAAAUGCGUUGAUAUCAUCAGGAACACCGGUGGCGAAAGCGGCUUACUGGGUCUCUUCUGACGCUGAGGAGCGAAAGCCAGGGGAGCAAACGGG
rnacentral:rRNA from 1 species